UUUUGGCUAUUCAAAGCUGAUUCAAAAUAACUGUUUGUUUCAGAUUCAGCUUGAAUCCGGUCCCUACACCUGAAACAAACAACACCAAAUUCUAAAUACACCACCAAUGCCCAAGGCAAUUUCAGGACAAGGGAAAUUCAUCUCAAACUGGGGAACAAAACUCACAACAGUAGCACUUUCCCUUAACAGGAGCAAAAUGUGACAAAGGCAUAGUUUUCACCAACACGAUCAUAAGUUAUCAACUUAAAAGUGCUGUAAACACAAAGGAACCACCCUCCUCCUUCAACAUCUAAAGGCCGACAUACUGUCUACUCCAUGCAACGGCAAUCUAAGACCUGGGCUUCUCCUUCUUCUCUUUGAAGAGGGCAAGCAGAGACACACCAGACACCUUGACGACCUUGAACCGGACACCGGGAAUAUCUCCCACGGCAUGCCCCUUACGACCGAAUCCAGCAAUCAGCACCUCGUCCUGGACAACAGGUGAAAGACAGACUUAGUACCUACAGCAGAGCAAGCAUUUGAAAAGUACCAAGAUGGAGAACAUACAUUCUCCUCGAUGAAGUUCAGGCAACCAUCAUUGGGAACGAAGGC
rnacentral:lncRNA from 1 species